rnacentral:rRNA from 1 species
AUUGAACGCUGGCGGCAGGCCUAACACAUGCAAGUCGAACGAGGGGCGGACGGGUGAGUAAUAUAUCGGAACGUGCCUAAUAGCGGGGGAUAACUACUGGAAACGGUGGCUAAUACCGCAUACCAUCAGAUGUGCCCAUAUGGGAUUAGCUUGGUGGUGGGGUAAAGGCGCACCAAGGCGACGAUCCAUAGCUGGUCUGCGAGGAGGACCAGCAACACUGGAACUGAGACACGGCCCAGACGCCUACGGGAGGCAGCAGUGGGGAAUAUUGGACAAUGGGGGAAAGCCUGAUGCAGCCAUGCCGCGUGUAUGAAGAAGGCCUUCGGGUUGUAAAGUACUUUCAGCGGGGAGGCGUUAUCUGCAGAAGAAGCACCGGCUAACUCCGUGCCAGCAGCCGCGGUAAUAC